rnacentral:rRNA from 1 species
UACGAAGGGGGCUAGCGUUGUUCGGAAUUACUGGGUUUAAAGGGUGCGUAGGCGGCUUAAUAAGUCAGAGGUGAAAGGCUGUGGCUCAACCAUGGGAUUGCCUUUGAUACUGUUAGGCUUGAAUCAGGCUGAGGUUGGCAGAAUGUGGCAUGUAGCGGUGAAAUGCAUAGAUAUGCCAUAGAAUACCGAUUGCGAAGGCAGCUGACGGGCUCUUGAUUGACGCUGAGGCACGAAAGCGUGGGGAGCGAACAGG